UACGGAAGGCAGCAGUGGGGAAUAUUGCACAAUGGGCGAAAGCCUGAUGCAGCUAUGCCGCGUGUAUGAAGAAGGCCUUAGGGUUGUAAAGUACUUUCAUCGGGGAGGAAAAACAAAACUAAUAAUUUUAUUUCUUGACGUUACCCGAAAAAGAAGCACCGGCUAACUCCGUGCCAGCAGCCGCGGUAAUACGGAGGGUGCUAGCGUUAAUCAGAAUUACUGGGCGUAAAGAGCACGUAGGUGGUUUUUUUAAGUCAGAUGUGAAAUCCCUGGGCUUAACCUGGAAACUGCAUUUUGAAACUGAAAUACUAGAGUAUCGUAGAGGGAGGUAGAAUUCUAGGUGUAGCGGUGAAAUGCGUAGAUAUCUGGAGGAAUACCUGUGGCGAAAGCGGCCUCCUAAACGAAUACUGACACUGAGGUGCGAAAGCGUGGGGAGCAAACAGGGAUUAGAUACC
rnacentral:rRNA from 1 species